GAUAAACGCUGGCGGCGUGCCUAAUGCAUGCAAGUCGCACGGAGUGUCCUUUCGGGGGCAUUGAGUGGCAAACGGGUGAGGAACGCGUGGAGAACCUACCCCGGCGUGGGGAGUACCCGCCAGAAAUGGUGGCUAAUACCGCGUACGGUCCAGGGGCGAGAGGCCAUCUGGAAGAAAGCAGUGAUGCGCGCUGGGAGGGGUCUGCGCCCGAUUAGCUGGUUGGCGGGGUAACGGCCCACCAAGGCGGUGAUCGGUAGCUGGUCUGAGAGGAUGAUUAGCCACAC
rnacentral:rRNA from 1 species